AACGAACGCUGGCGGCAUGCCUAACACAUGCAAGUCGAACGAGACCUUCGGGUCUAGUGGCGCACGGGUGCGUAACGCGUGGGAACCUGCCCUUAGGUUCGGAAUAACUCCCCGAAAGGGGUGCUAAUACCGGAUAAUGUCUUCGGACCAAAGAUUUAUCGCCUUUGGAUGGGCCCGCGUUGGAUUAGCUAGUUGGUAGGGUAAAAGCCUACCAAGGCGACGAUCCAUAGCUGGUCUGAGAGGAUGAUCAGCCACACUGGGACUGAGACACGGCCCAGACUCCUACGGGAGGCAGCAGUGAGGAAUAUUGGACAAUGGGCGAAAGCCUGAUCCAGCAAUGCCGCGUGAGUGAUGAAGGCCUUAGGGUUGUAAAGCUCUUUUACCCGGGAUGAUAGUGACAGUACCGGGAGAAUAAGCUCCGGCUAACUCCGUG
rnacentral:rRNA from 1 species